UCUGUAGUUCAACAGGUAGAACACCCGGCUGUUAAUCGGAAAAUAGGAGUUCGAAUCUUCUUAGA
rnacentral:tRNA from 1 species